CUGCAAAGAGAAGGACAUGGGGACAGGUGAGUUCGUCCCUGAGCCCCUGACAAGGCUAUUCCAAGAGUUUUCUCCUGGAUUCCAAGUCCUAUUACAGGGGAGGGACACCCCAGGCCUUGGGAGCCAAUCCUGGCCUCCUGCCCCCAGAACAUGGCUCCCCAGGGAAGGUGCCCCUCCCGCUGACAACUGUCCCCCCCGCCUUGCCCCGCAGCCCAGCCCCCUGCUUCCUCCAUUGGACCCCACAAAACGGGGUGGUCGCUGGCAGGGUUGGGUUUCCAGACACUGGCUCAGAUAGACCUUGGGUUGGAUCCAGCCGUCUGGCUCUGUGCAUCUUUUGACUAGCUGCCCCCCUAGCCCAUUCCUGCCCUCCUCUGUCCCAAAAAGGAGGACCACUUGCUCACCUGACACCAUGGGCUGCUCUGGGCCUUGCAGGCCUGUUGCUGCGGCUGAUCAGGCAUCUUGAACACCUUAACUUAGAAGAGAGGAGCAGAGAGAGUGACUCAGAAGCUGGCAGCCCCAAUUCUUGGGGGGCGUUUGUGUGUGAGGAGGGGCGUCUGGCUCAAUUCUUUCCAUCUCUCUGCAGUUCAGUGACCUGAAAGGGCAUCGCCAGAGCUGGAAAGAGGCAGCCCAGAGCAUGAAUGGCUGGCAGAGAGACAAAGGAGGCCCCAAGUGCUAUGGGUUCAAGAGCUCCAGCCCAAUGGAAAGACAAGCAUUGCCAACUGUUAAAAGGGCUGCUCUGCCUCGUCUUAGGACAGCCCUGCCCUUCCUGGAGAGGGAGGACACCCCUAGGAGGAUCCUCCAAGCAUCAAGGUGUCCCAGAAGAGGAGCAGAACAUGAGGAAGGUGUUGGAAUCUUCCAUGGAGCCAGAGAGACCCCCAGGAAGGGGGAGAAGGCCGAUGUCGUAGGGCAGUUGGAGAGAUGCAAAAUGGAGCCAGGCAUAGGUGUAGCGGUUGGAGGUCUGGACUAGGAGGACCUGGGAGAGCAGGGUUUGAAUCCCCACUCAGCCAUGAAGCUCCCUGGUGGACCUUGGGCCAGCCUAGCCUACUUUGCAGGGCUGCUGUGAAGAUAACAAUUGGUGGCAGGGAGAUCCAUGAAGGCCAUCUUGAGCUCCUGGGAGGAAAGUGGUCUAUGAAUGUCCUAGUAAAUGUAAAUGAUGAGAGGGGAGAGAAAAGGGGAAGGCAGAGAAAGAGUGUGGAGGAGCUGAAAACCAAGCCUGAUGAGGAACAGUUGAGGCAGCUGGGUAUGUUUAGCCUGGAGAAGAGGAGACUGAGAGGAGAGCCAUCUUUCAAUAUCUGUGGGCUACAAGAGGGAGCAAGCUUGUUUUCUGCUGCUCCAGAGAGGAGGGCAGGAGAGGAGAUUCGGACUAAACGUUAGGAAGAACUUUCUGAUAGUAAGACUCUCUGGGCAGUGGUGGACUCUCUUUCCUUGGAGGCUUUGAAGCAGAGGUUGGAUGCCAGUCUGUGAGGGAUUCAGCUGCAAUUUGGGGAGUGAAUAGCACUGGCCUACUUUACAGGGUUGUUGUAACCACACAGGGCUGCUGAGCAUCCAAAAGUUCCUGACAAAUGUUGAGCCUUCCAUUUCAUUGUAGGGAACAGCUGCAGCGCAUCAGGAGGCGUCCCUCAACUUCCGUUUCUUCUCUCUCCUGCAGCCAAAGGGGCCGGGCUGAAUUACCAAAUAGGCAAAGUAGGCACUGGCCUAUGGGCCCCACACUUUUUAGGGGUCCCACAACAAUGGAUCAAAAUAAUAUUGAUCUGAUCUUGAAAGAAAACGACAAUCAAGCUUUCUUAGUUCAAUAUUAUUCCAGCGUGCGCACAAAGCCUGCCACCGCCCAGAUUUUGACUGCCAAGGGGCCUCCACAGGGUUUAAUCCAUCACUCCCCCCCCCAGAUGUUGCUGGACUCUCAAGUCCCACCAGCUGAAAACAGCAAGGUUGGGGAUAAUGGGAGAUGUGGAUCAAUAACAUAGAGGGCUGUAGAUAUAGAGUGCAGGUUUCUCAAGCUCCCUCAGUGGAAUCUAGAGACUACCUGGAAUCCAGGGCAAGAGGAAUGUUUGGCUGAUCACGGAGCAAACAGGUCCAGCUAGUCCUGGACAUCUUAAAUUAGUGGACAGAAGAUAUACCGUAUGCUAGGUCAGGGUGUUGUUACAUUGAUCCCACCUGAUAAGAGACUUGGGACAGGCCAGAGAGAUCUUGAAAGCAGAUCUUCUCUGCAAGAGCUUCCAAAAGCGUGUAUGUUAAACUUUAUUUAAAAUAUGUCUUCUGCCUUUCCCUGUAAGUGUUCUUAUAAAUAAGAACUGCGAAAUACAAUACAUUCAACUCCCCUCUCACAACAAAAAUAGCAAACCAUACAAGUAUCCCUCCCCAACCUGGUGCCCUUCAGGCGUGUUGGGAUUACAACUCCCACCAGUCACAGCCAGCAAGACUGUACAGUGGUACCUUGGUUUAAGAACAGCUUAGUUUAUGAACAACUUGGAUUAAGAACGCUGCAAACCUGGAAGUAGGUGUUUUGGUUCAUGAACUUUGCCUUGGAAGCAGAACAUGUUUCGCUUCCUUUUGAGGGUAAAUUGCUAUGGGAAAGCAUGCCUUGGUUUAAGAACGCUUUGGUUUAAGAAUGGACUUCCAGAAUUAAGUUCGUAAACCAAGGUACCACUGUAUUAAAGUGACUGAUACAUAUCCCACAUGUAUGAUGCCUGGGCUGAUGAAACCUGCAGUCUCAAAUGGCCACGCUAGCUGGAGAUGAUGCCAGUUACAGUCCAAAACAUCCAGAGGGCACCAGCUUGGAAAAGACUGCAUACAAAGUUCUUCCCAAGACAGGCAUUCUCCAGUCCCCUUUCCCCACUGUGCAAAUAAAUAGGUUGUGUGUGUGCAUUUUUGUGCAUCACAGAUUGCAAUGCACAAGUGUGGAGUUGGCCUUGGGGAAGGAAUCCAGCAUGUUGGCCUGCCUUUGAUAAAAACAAGAGAGGUGAUAAUAGGGUCACUAAAUUGUAUGUCUUUGGUGGGGAAUAAGCAAAUCUUGUGAGGACUGGUCUCCCAAUUGUGAUGAGCCAUGAGAGCUGCGUGUAGAGCCUAACUGUUCAGGAGCAGUCUACCCCCUGGUUAGCAGACGCUGGAGACAAACAACAAAGAAUGGCUACUGCCUCCAAGCCUUGUCAAUUGGGCUUGCCAAAAACAUCUGGCUGGUUGGGGAGAGAGUUCAAGGUUAGCUGGAUCUUUGGUCUAAUCCAGCAAUACCAAUUUUAAAGUUUCUAUGGCUGCGGAGAUAAGGCUAUCAAUGGCUGCUGACCUACAGCUGUAGGCAGUAAUGCUUCUAGAUAACACCUGCUGGGAUGCGCAGGUAAUGAGAGCAUUGUCACACUCAGGUUCUGUUUUAGGUAAAGUUGCCAGAUUUUUUUCAAUGAAUCCGGGGACACUUUUCAACUUCAAUGGAUUUUGUAUGGGGACUGAUCUGUAAAUCCAGGGAUUGUCCCCAGGAAACUGGGACGUCUGGUAACCUUAUUUUUAGGGCUUCCCAAAGGCAUUUGGUUGUCCUCUGUAAGAAAUGGGUAAGAAAGGAUGUUUAGAAUAGUCUUCUCCCAAAAGCCUGAAGCGUUUCUUUUGGAAAUAGAAGGGACAGGGGUCCCUCCAAAGAGUUGGUUAAAACUGUUUAUGUUCGCUACCAAUGCAGACAGAAUUAUGUUCACACAGAAAUGGAAGGAAAAAGAAGUUCCAACAGAAGAGGAGUGGACUUUGAAAUUAUUGGACUGUGGCAAAGAAUCCAAAAAUAUUGGACUACGGCAAAAAUGACAGCAAAAUAAGAGACCAAAAUGAAGAAACGCUUGUAGAAGAACGGAGAUCCUUUUCGGAUUAUCUGAGAAAAUAUUAAAGUCAAAUGAAAUAGCAGGCAGGACUUGAAAGGAAUGGGAAUGAUAAAGCAAUGUGUGUUUUAAUGAAAUAUUACAUUAAUGGCAGUAGAUGAAUGAUUUGAAUAGAAGCAUCGUGGAAGGAAGGAUGGAAAGUCAAAAAUUUAAGGGAAU
rnacentral:lncRNA from 1 species